rnacentral:lncRNA from 1 species
GCACCAUUUGCUCAACACUUUUCUCCUCGGGUACCUCUUCAGGUUUCUUCUUUUCAGCAAACUUCAGUUUUGGUAAAUUCUCAGGUUCAGCUUCAUCCUCCUUUUGGACCAGCUUUUGCACCUUUUGCUUAACACUUUCCUCCUUGGGUACCUCUUCAGGUUUCUUCUUUUCAGCCAACUUCAGUUUCAGUACCUCCUCAGCUUCAGUCUCCUUUUCAACUGGCUUUGGUUUUGGCACCAUUUGCUCAACACUUUUCUCCUUGGGUACCUCUUCGGGUUUCUUCUCUUCUGCCAACUUCAGUUUUGAUACCUUUGCAGCUUCAGCUUCAGCUUCAGCUGCAGUUUUGGCAUCCUUUUUGACCCAUUGUUCCUUUGCAGGUUCCUUCUUCUCACCCAAUUCUAUGUUUGGGAGCUGUUCAUCUUCCUCGGGCUGCUCUUCAUUAAUCAUCUUAGGCUCUUGUUCUUCUUCUGGUUCUUGUUCUUGCUCUUGGUCUGGUUCUGAUU